GACGAACGCUGGCGGCGUGCUUAACACAUGCAAGUCGAACGGAAAGGCCCUGCUUUUGUGGGGUGCUCGAGUGGCGAAAGGGUGAGUAACACGUGAGUAACCUGCCCUUGACUUUGGGAUAACUUCAGGAAACUGGGGCUAAUACCGGAUAGGAGCUCCUGCUGCAUGGUGGGGGCUGGAAAGUUUCGGCGGUUGGGGAUGGACUCGCGGCUUAUCAGCUUGUUGGUGGGGUAGUGGCUUACCAAGGCUUUGACGGGUAGCCGGCCUGAGAGGGUGACCGGCCACAUUGGGACUGAGAUACGGCCCAGACUCCUACGGGAGGCAGCAGUGGGGAAUAUUGCACAAUGGGCGGAAGCCUGAUGCAGCAACGCCGCGUGCGGGAUGACGGCCUUCGGGUUGUAAACCGCUUUCGCCUGUGACGAAGCGUGAGUGACGGUAAUGGGUAAAGAAGCACCGGCUAACUACGUG
rnacentral:rRNA from 1 species